CCUACGGGUGGCUGCAGUGGGGGAUAUUGCACAAUGGGCGCAAGCCUGAUGCAGCAACGCCGCGUGAGGGAAGACGGUUUUCGGAUUGUAAACCUCUGUCUUUGGUGAAGAAUAAAUGACGGUAGCCGAGGAGGAAGCCACGGCUAACUACGUGCCAGCAGCCGCGGUAAUACGUAGGUGGCGAGCGUUGUCCGGAAUUACUGGGUGUAAAGGGAGCGCAGGCGGGGAAGCAAGUCAGCUGUGAAAUCUAUGGGCUUAACCCAUAACGUGCAGUUGAAACUGUUUUUCUUGAGUAGAGUAGAGGUAGGCGGAAUUCCGAGUGUAGCGGUGAAAUGCGUAGAGAUUCGGAGGAACACCAGUGGCGAAGGCGGCCUACUGGGCUCUAACUGACGCUGAGGCUCGAAAGUGUGGGGAGCAAACAGGAUUAGAUACCCUGGUAGUC
rnacentral:rRNA from 1 species